rnacentral:SRP_RNA from 1 species
GCCAGAGGCAGUAGCGGACACCUAUAGUCCCAGCUGUGUGGGAGGCUGAAGUGGGAGGGUCGCUUGAGCCCAGGAGCUCUGGGCUGUCGUGUGCUGUGCCCAUCGGGUGUCCACACUGAGUUCAGCAUCAAUCCGGUGGCCUCCCCUUAGCAUGGACCACUAGUUGCCUAAGGAGGAGUGAGCUGGCCCAGGUUGGAAUGGAGCAGGUGAAGACUCCCGUGCUCAUCAGUCAUGAGAUCCCACUUGUGAAGAGCCACUGCCCUCCAGCCUGGGUCAACAAAGACAGACCCCACCUUU